UUGGUAAGGAUUAUCAAAUAA
rnacentral:piRNA from 1 species